rnacentral:rRNA from 1 species
UCGCCCUUAGAGUUUGAUCCUGGCUCAGGAUGAACGCUAGCGGGAGGCUUAACACAUGCAAGUCGAGGGGCAGCAUAGGGUAGCAAUACUCUGAUGGCGACCGGCAAACGGGUGAGUAACGCGUAUGCAACCUACCCUGUACAGGGGGAUAACCCGGAGAAAUUCGGACUAAUAUCCCGUAAUAAUAUCCGGAGGCAUCUUUGGAUAUUUAAAGUUCCGACGGUACGGGAUGGGCAUGCGUAACAUUAGCUGGUUGGUAAGGUAACGGCUUACCAAGGCUAUGAUGUUUAGGGGUCCUGAGAGGGUGGUCCCCCACACUGGUACUGAGACACGGACCAGACUCCUACGGGAGGCAGCAGUGAGGAAUAUUGGUCAAUGGGCGCAAGCCUGAACCAGCCAUCCCGCGUGCAGGAAGACGGCCCUAUGGGUUGUAAACUGCUUUUCCAGGGAGAGAAACUUACGCACGUGUUGCGUGACUGACGGUACCCUGGGAAUAAGCAUCGGCUAACUCCGUGCCAGCAGCCGCGGUAAUACGGAGGAUGCAAGCGUUAUCCGGAUUCAUUGGGUUUAAAGGGUGCGUAGGCGGGCUAUUAAGUCAGUGGUGAAAUCCUGCAGCUUAACUGCAGAACUGCCGUUGAUACUGAUAGUCUUGAGUUUGGUUAAGGUAGGCGGAAUGUGUAAUGUAGCGGUGAAAUGCUUAGAUAUUACACAGAACACCAAUUGCGUAGGCAGCUUACUGAGCCGACACUGACGCUGAGGCACGAAAGCGUGGGGAUCAAACAGGAUUAGAUACCCUGGUAGUCCACGCCGUAAACGAUGAUUACUCGCUGUUGGCGAUACACUGUCAGCGGCUAAGCAAAAGUAAUAAGUAAUCCACCUGGGGAGUA